AUGUACCCACGACACUCCGGUUCCUCCGCGCCGCCCGCACCCACCUGACGGCUGCUCGCUACGUUUUGUUAGCC
rnacentral:sRNA from 2 species